GGGUAGGAAAGUUUUCCAGUUCGUUCGUGACGUCAUAGGCGUAGAAUUUUCUUGGUCAACAGAGGGCGCUCUCAGCGCGCCAGUAUUGUCACAUAUUUUUGUCAAGUUUGUAGAAAUCCGUCAAAAGGUUCCUUUGAUUUUGCAUCAUUAUUCGAUACGCCCAAUGUUAUUGAACCGCAUUCGCAUUCGCAUUCGCAUUCAACUUCUGAGUGUACAAAACCCGUCACACAUUUUGCUAUUGGUACAAUACAUGGGAAACAGUUAAA